rnacentral:rRNA from 1 species
CAGCCGCCACGGUAAUACAGAGGGUGCGAGCGUUAAUCGGAUUUACUGGGCGUAAAGCGUGCGUAGGCGGCUUUUUAAGUCGGAUGUGAAAUCCCUGAGCUUAACUUAGGAAUUGCAUUCGAUACUGGGAAGCUAGAGUAUGGGAGAGGAUGGUAGAAUUCCAGGUGUAGCGGUGAAAUGCGUAGAGAUCUGGAGGAAUACCGAUGGCGAAGGCAGCCAUCUGGCCUAAUACUGACGCUGAGGUACGAAAGCGUGGGGAGCAAACAGGAUUAGAUACCCCCGUAGUCCCUGUCUCUUAUAC